AUGUCGACGGCGGCGGCGCAGGGCGGCGAGAAGCCGGCGCUCAGGAAGCCGGUGUUCGUCAAGGUGGACCAGCUCAAGCCGGGCACCAACGGCCACACCCUCAUCGUCAAGGUCGUCAGCGCCAACCCCGUCCCUGGCCGCGUGCGCACUGGUGCGCCCGCCUCCUCCUCCGCCCGCGCCCCCCGCAUCGCGGAGUGCCUCGUGGGCGACGAGACCGGCUCCAUCAUCUUUACUGCCCGCAACGACCAAGUUGACCUGUUGAAGGCUGGUGCUACAGCCAUCUUGCGCAAUGCUAAAAUUGACAUGUUCAAAGCUUCGAUGAGGCUUGCGGUGGACAAGUGGGGGCGGGUAGAAGCUACAGAACCUGCCAGCUUUACUGUGAAUGAAGAGAACAACUUGUCGCAAGUAGAGUACGAGCUGGUUAACGUGGCCGAGUAA
rnacentral:rRNA from 1 species